rnacentral:lncRNA from 1 species
CACCACCGACAUCCUGAAGAUAUGAUUAUGUGGCUAACUAUGGGGAUCAAAGGCAAGGAAUAAGAACUGGGGCCAACAGACUCAGCAACAGUACAAGCCACCUCAGCCACAAUACAAUGCCGGGAACAUGGGAGGCUUGAUACCUUCCAACAAUAUGGAACCCUAUCCUAGACUGCAGGGAUACAAUAAUCAGCAGCAGCAUGGUGGGUGACAAGAAGAUGGGUUCGCUAGACUGGA